rnacentral:lncRNA from 1 species
GUUGCAUCACUACCAAGGAGCUGGGAACUGUGAUGCGCUCCCUUGGCCAGAACCCUACUGAAGCAGAGCUGCAGGACAUGAUCAACGAGGUUGAUGCUGAUGGCAACGGGACCAUCGACUUCCCGGAGUUCCUAAACCUGAUGGCAAGGAAGAUGAAGGACACUGAUUCCGAGGAGGAGCUCAAGGAGGCCUUCCGCGUCUUCGACAAGGACCAGAACGGUUUCAUCUCGGCUGCUGAGCUCCGCCACGUCAUGACCAACCUUGGUGAGAAGCUGACCGAUGAGGAAGUCGAUGAGAUGAUCCGCGAGGCUGACGUGGAUGGCGACGGCCAGAUCAACUACGAGGAGUUCGUCAAGGUCAUGAUGGCCAAGUGAGGAGCGGUCCCCAUGAAAUAAGUCUGUCCAAAUUGAACUGUUAUCAGGAUCACAAGCUGUAGUUUGUCAUGUCCCUUUGAGUACGUAUCAGUAUCAUGCAGGUG